rnacentral:rRNA from 1 species
AGUGAACGCUGGCGGUAGGCCUAACACAUGCAAGUCGAACGGCAGCACAGUAAGAGCUUGCUCUUACGGGUGGCGAGUGGCGGACGGGUGAGGAAUACAUCGGAAUCUACUUUUUCGUGGGGGAUAACGUAGGGAAACUUACGCUAAUACCGCAUACGACCUACGGGUGAAAGCAGGGGAUCUUCGGACCUUGCGCGAUUGAAUGAGCCGAUGUCGGAUUAGCUAGUUGGCGGGGUAAAGGCCCACCAAGGCGACGAUCCGUAGCUGGUCUGAGAGGAUGAUCAGCCACACGAGAACUGAGACACGGACCAGACUCCUACGGGAGGCAGCAGUGGGGAAUAUUGGACAAUGGGCGCAAGCCUUAUCCAGCCAUACCGCGUGGGUGAAGAAGGCCUUCGGGUUGUAAAGCCCUUUUGUUGGGAAAGAAAAGCAGCAGGUUAAUACCCCGCUGUUCUGACGGUACCCAAAGAAUAAGCACCGGCUAACUUCGUG